GGCGGCGUAGCUCAAUGGUAGAGCAAGCGUCUUGUUUUCUUCUUUCUACAGCGUUGCUUUUGUCAGCGUCUGAUCCAGGUUCGACUCCUGGCGCCGCCA